CCUGAGGCGUUUGCAUUGUGGGGCGGGAGGCUGUCGACUGUCAUCUCCCGCUUUCUUAUAGGCAAAAGUCUGGCGACUAAAACUACAAUUCCCGGCAGGCGCCGGACUCGCUCGUCCCUAGUUUUCCGGGCAUUCUGGGAAUUGUAGGCUCCGGCCUCGUGAUUGCUGCUACCUGGGCUGGCCUCUUUCACGAGGGUGUGACGGGCCUACCUGGGCGGCAGCGUGUCCCAACAGUGCCUGAUUUUAAGAAUUAUCUGUGAGGCUAAUUAAAGAGGCAGAGGGCGACGUUUUAAACUGGUUUCCUGAAUCCAAUCUUGCCAUGUUUAGCAAAGGUACACCGCAUCCUGGCAUCUUACACAAGCCUCUCUAAUGACAGGGUGCUUUCAGAUGCACACUAAGAAAACGAAAACAGGGCUUUACUCAGCAGGAGUCCUCAGCACUGAUUUGUACCAUGGCCGCCCCUGCCCUGCCACUUCCACCAGAUGUGUGUCAUCAUAGGCAUCCAAGGUCACCUCAUUAUGGCUCUGUGCAAAGACAGCACCCCAAAGGGGCCAUCGAUUUGGAACAUCUGAUCGGCUCUCUGAGUUGGAUCCACUAGCUCAUAAAAUCCAAUAAAUGUCAAAGAUCUGUCGGGCGCAUUAACCUCUGGAGGUCUAUUAAAAGACUCUGCCUUCGAUAAGGAGAUUCUGUUUCAGUCACAAAGACGCCAAGGCGACCAAUUCUAAAACCCCUGAUUUUAGAUGCA